rnacentral:lncRNA from 1 species
AUACACCCUAAAGACUGAAGGAGCCAGCGCAGAGCCAGGAUCCUCCUGUGAGCCAUGGCCCUGGCUGCCCUGCUUAGCCUCUCGGAACCUGGGCCAUCAGGGCAGACCAUGUGUCAACGUAUGCAGAGUUUGUGCAGACACACAGACCCUCUGGGGAGUAUAUGUUUGAAUCUGAUGAAGAUGAGCAGUUAUUUGUGCACCUGGACAAGAAGGAGAUGGUCUGGCAUCU